CCGCAGGGCCCAGCCUCGCCUCGGCUUCCCCCCUGCACGACUGCGGCGUGGAAACUUUAGUUUUUCUUGGCUCCGGUCAUGAUUUCGGGGUCAUGGGAUCGAGCCCCACAUUGGACUCUGCAUUCACUGGGAAAGAUGAAACCUGCCUUGAAGAAGACAGAUGAAUUGGUGCCUGGAUCAUUUCUGGAAGGGAAGUGCAUCUUUAGCCCUCAGCCAGCCCAGCCUCCUGCCUUCUUUCUGACCAGCAUUAGGAAACCAGGCCAGGCUGCCGCUCUGCAGGACUGUCACUCACAGACACUCACCUGGCUUGUGCGUUAUUAGCCAGCUUCCCUGGAGUCGCCUGGUCCAGCAGCCACCACCUUCUCGAAGUUUCUUUUCUCCUGCGUCCUCGGAGCAGGUUGCUUCUGAGGGUCCUGACCAGGCAUUUUGUAUUCUCCUUUGCCGACAUCUGCCGGAAUGGCCACCAGUAAAAAGGAAAGUCCUAUCAGAGUACCCAGGUCUUUUUUCCUCAUUUGGGCAAACUGGCCACCACGAAAAUUUUUGGAAUUACUCCAUUCACUUUUAUGUCCUCAGAAAAAUCAUCUUCCUUCUGUACUACCUGAAUGUCUUGCCACCAUCUCUGCUUGUCCAGAGUGUAAGUUUCCAAAUUAAAUACCACUCGCUUACAAUUAACCCCUCUUCCUGAAAUCGAUCCAGGAACGUGGAAUUCUAAAGCAAGAAGGGGUACGGAGCAGGGCUAAAUCAAGGGCUGCCAACAGUUGGGGUGUGGAUUCUCUUCAGAACUGGAUGAUCGCUGGUGGAUUUAUCUCCAGAAAAAUGCCAUACAUUUAAUUCUGUAUAAAAUUUCAGUGGAUUCACAGACCCUCUGAGGUCCACCCAUCAACCCCACAUUAAGAACCUUUGC